rnacentral:rRNA from 1 species
CUACGGGCGGCUGCAGUGGGGAAUAUUGGACAAUGGGGGAAACCCUGAUCCAGCAAUGCCGCGUGUGUGAAGAAGGCCUGCGGGUUGUAAAGCACUUUCGGUUGGGAGGACUGCUUCUAGCACUAAUAUUGUUGGAAGUUGACGUUACCUUCAGAAGAAGCACCGGCUAACUCCGUGCCAGCAGCCGCGGUAAUACGGAGGGUGCAAGCGUGAGUCGGAAUUACUGGGCGUAAAGCGCGCGUAGGCGGCUAGAUCAGUCGGGUGUGAAAGCCCCGGGCUUAACCUGGGAACUGCAUCCGAUACUGUCUAGCUUGAGUACAGGAGAGGAGAGUGGAAUUCCACAUGUAGCGGUGAAAUGCGUAGAUAUGUGGAGGAACACCAAUGGCGAAGGCAGCUCUCUGGCCUGAUACUGACGCUGAGGUGCGAAAGCGUGGGGAGCAAACAGGAUUAGAUACCCCAGUAGUC